rnacentral:rRNA from 1 species
CGAUCGGGAGGAAGUUUUUGGAUGGAAUCCGGAUUGACUGAGUGGCGGACGGGUGAGUAACGCGUGGGUAACCUGCCUCAUACAGGGGGAUAACAGUUAGAAAUGACUGCUAAUACCGCAUAAGCGCACAGGGACACAUGUUCCGGUGUGAAAAACUCCGGUGGUAUGAGAUGGACCCGCGUCUGAUUAGCUGGUUGGCGGGGUAACGGCCCACCAAGGCGACGAUCAGUAGCCGACCUGAGAGGGUGACCGGCCACAUUGGGACUGAGACACGGCCCAAACUCCUACGGGAGGCAGCAGUGGGGAAUAUUGCACAAUGGGGGAAACCCUGAUGCAGCAACGCCGCGUGAGUGAAGAAGUAUUUCGGUAUGUAAAGCUCUAUCAGCAGGGAAGAAGAUGACGGUACCUGAGUAAGAAGCCCCGGCUAACUACGUGCCAGCAGCCGCGGUAAUACGUAGGGGGCAAGCGUUAUCCGGAUUUACUGGGUGUAAAGGGAGCGUAGACGGUGAGACAAGUCUGAAGUGAAAGCCCGGGGCUCAACCCCGGGACUGCUUUGGAAACUGCCUGACUGGAGUGCUGGAGAGGCAAGCGGAAUUCCUAGUGUAGCGGUGAAAUGCGUAGAUAUUAGGAAGAACACCAGUGGCGAAGGCGGCUUGCUGGACAGUAACUGACGUUGAGGCUCGAAAGCGUGGGGAGCAAACAGGAUUAGAUACCCUGGUAGUCCACGCCGUAAACG